rnacentral:rRNA from 1 species
UACGGAGGGUGCGAGCGUUGUCCGGAAUCACUGGGCGUAAAGGGCGCGUAGGCGGCGCGGAUAGUCGGCGGUGAAAGCCCGGAGCUCAACUCCGGGUCGGCCGUCGAUACUUCCGGGCUUGAGCACUGUAGAGGCAGAUGGAAUUCCGGGUGUAGCGGUGGAAUGCGUAGAGAUCCGGAAGAACACCGGUGGCGAAGGCGGUCUGCUGGGCAGUUGCUGACGCUGAUGCGCGACAGCGUGGGGGAGCAAACAGGG